rnacentral:rRNA from 1 species
UUCGUGGGCUACCAUGCAGUCGAGCGGAUGACGGGAGCUUGCUCCUUGAUUCAGCGGCGGACGGGUGAGUAAUGCCUAGGAAUCUGCCUGGCAGUGGGGGACAACGUUUCGAAAGGAACGCUAAUACCGCAUACGUCCUACGGGAGAAAGCAGGGGACCUUCGGGCCUUGCGCUAUCAGAUGAGCCUAGCUCCGAUUAGCUAGUUGGUGGGGUAAUGGCUCACCAAGGCGACGAUCCGUAACUGGGCUGAGACGAUGAUCAGUCUCACUGGAACUGAGAGAUGUUCCAGACUCGUACCGGAGGGAGCACUGUGUUACACUGGACAACGGGCGAAAGCGCGAGCCAGCCAUGCGGCGUGAGUGAACAUUGCCCUCCGAUUGUAAAGCCCGUUCAGGUGGCAGGACGGGGAGUUCCCCCACAGCUUGCCGUUUUGACCGUAACGAAUGAAUAGUGACCUUGCUAAGCCUGUGCCAGAAGCCGCGGUCAUUCAGAGCGGGCUCGGGUAUACCGGAAUUACUGGCUGUACAGCGCCCCUCACCGGUUCGUUACACUCGCAUAUGAGAGCCCCGCCACCAACUUGGGAACUGCCUCUAAAAUUUGGUGAUCUUCAGCACGGGAGAGAGUCGCUCUCUUUCCGGUGGAGGCCUUAAAUUCCGUAAAUUCAGGUAGGCAAACCUCGUGGCGA